rnacentral:rRNA from 1 species
GAUCCUGGCUCAGGAUGAACGCUAGCGACAGGCCUAACACAUGCAAGUCGAGGGGCAGCGAAGAGGUAGCAGUACCUUUGCCGGCGACCGGCGCACGGGUGAGUAACACGUAUGCAAUCCACCUGUAACAGGGGGAUAACCCGGAGAAAUCCGGACUAAUACCCCAUAAUAUGGGCGCUCCGCAUGGAGAGCCCAUUAAAGAGAGCAAUUUUGGUUACAGACGAGCAUGCGCUCUA